AACGAACGCUGGCGGCAGGCCUAACACAUGCAAGUCGAGCGGGCGUAGCAAUACGUCAGCGGCGGACGGGUGAGUAACACGUGGGAAUAUGCCUUUCGGUUUGGAACAACUCGGGGAAACCCGUGCUAAUUCCGGAUACGCCCUUAGGGGAAAGAUUUAUCGCCGAAAGAUUAGCCCGCGUCCGAUUAGCUAGUUGGUGAGGUAACGGCCCACCAAGGCGACGAUCGGUAGCUGGUUUGAGAGAACGACCAGCCACACUGGGACUGAGACACGGCCCACGACUCCUACGGGAGGCAGCAGUGGGGAAUCUUGGACAAUGGAGGAAACUCUGAUCCAGCCAUGCCGCGU
rnacentral:rRNA from 1 species